AUAAUUACCUGGACCGGGGCAAUGAAUGAUCAAUAAGGUCCAUGGCCUAGGUUGGUGACCUUCAUUGCACUUUGGAGGGGUGUUAGCCUAAGGUUGGCUCAAGUGAUCGAGCCUUUGUCAUAAUUUGUGAAAGUGGGGGCUUGUGUCCGCGCGGCCCCUUC